GGUGCCCGGUGCGAAGGCAUACGGUUACUUCCACUCAUAAUGGGGAGGUUGCGGGUUCGAGUCCCGCCAGCCGCUA
rnacentral:tRNA from 1 species